rnacentral:rRNA from 1 species
GACGAACGCUGGCGGCGUGCCUAAUACAUGCAAGUUGAGCGAUGAAGAUUGGUGCUUGCCCCAAUUUGAAGAGCAGCGAACGGGUGAGUAACGCGUGGGGAAUCUGCCUUUGAGCGGGGGACAACAUUUGGAAACGAAUGCUAAUACCGCAUAACAACUUUAAACAUAAGUUUUAAGUUUGAAAGAUGCAAUUGCAUCACUCAAAGAUGAUCCCGCGUUGUAUUAGCUAGUUGGUGAGGUAAAGGCUCACCAAGGCGAUGAUACAUAGCCGACCUGAGAGGGUGAUCGGCCACAUUGGGACUGAGACACGGCCCAAACUCCUACGGGAGGCAGCAGUAGGGAAUCUUCGGCAAUGGACGAAAGUCUGACCGAGCAACGCCGCGUGAGUGAAGAAGGUGUUCGGAUCGUAAAACUCUGUUGGUAGAGAAGAACGUUGGUGAGAGUGGAAAGCUCAUCAAGUGACGGUAACGACCCAGAAAGGGACGGCUAACUACGU